GACAGCCAGGAUGUUGGCUUAGAAGCAGCCAUCAUUUAAAGAAAGCGUAAUAGCUCACUGGUCGAGUCGGCCUGCGCGGAAGAUGUAACGGGGCUAAACCAUGCACCGAAGCUGCGGCAGCGACACUGUGUGUUGUUGGGUAGGGGAGCGUUCUGUAAGCCUGUGAAGGUGUGCUGUGAGGCAUGCUGGAGGUAUCAGAAGUGCGAAUGCUGACAUAAGUAACGAUAAAGCGGGUGAAAAGCCCGCUCGCCGGAA
rnacentral:rRNA from 1 species